UACGGGGGGGGCAAGCGUUGUUCGGAAUUACUGGGCGUAAAGAGCUCGUAGGCGGCUUGUUGCGUCGACUGUGAAAACCCGUGGCUCAACCAUGUGGUCUGCAGUCGAUACGGGCAGGCUAGAAUUCGGUAGGGGAGACUGGAAUUCCCGGUGUAGCGGUGAAAUGCGCAGAUAUCAGGAGGAACACCGGUGGCGAAGGCGGGUCUCUGGGCCGAUAUUGACGCUGAGGAGCGAAAGCGUGGGGAGCGAACAGG
rnacentral:rRNA from 1 species